rnacentral:rRNA from 1 species
GAGUAAUGUCUGGGAAACUGCCUGAUGGAGGGGGAUAACUACUGGAAACGGUGGCUAAUACCGCAUAACGUCGCAAGACCAAAGAGGGGGACCUUCGGGCCUCUUGCCAUCAGAUGUGCCCAGAUGGGAUUAGCUUGUUGGUGAGGUAACGGCUCACCAAGGCGACGAUCCCUAGCUGGUCUGAGAGGAUGACCAGCCACACUGGAACUGAGACACGGUCCAGACUCCUACGGGAGGCAGCAGUGGGGAAUAUUGCACAAUGGGCGCAAGCCUGAUGCAGCCAUGCCGCGUGUAUGAAGAAGGCCUUCGGGUUGUAAAGUACUUUCAGCGGGGAGGAAGGUGUUGUGGUUAAUAACCGCAGCAAUUGACGUUACCCGCAGAAGAAGCACCGGCUAACUCCGUGCCAGCAGCCGCGGUAAUACGGAGGGUGCAAGCGUUAAUCGGAAUUACUGGGCGUAAAGCGCACGCAGGCGGUCUGUCAAGUCGGAUGUGAAAUCCCCGGGCUCAACCUGGGAACUGCAUUCGAAACUGGCAGGCUUGAGUCUUGUAGAGGGGGGUAGAAUUCCAGGUGUAGCGGUGAAAUGCGUAGAGAUCUGGAGGAAUACCGGUGGCGAAGGCGGCCCCCUGGACAAAGACUGACGCUCAGGUGCGAAAGCGUGGGGAGCAAACAGGAUUAGAUACCCUGGUAGUCCACGCCGUAAACGAUGUCUACUUGGAGGUUGUGCCCUUGAGGCGUGGCUUCCGGAGCUAACGCGUUAAGUAGACCGCCUGGGGAGUACGGCCGCAAGGUUAAAACUCAAAUGAAUUGACGGGGGCCCGCACAAGCGGUGGAGCAUGUGGUUUAAUUCGAUGCAACGCGAAGAACCUUACCUGGUCUUGACAUCCACAGAAGAAUCCAGAGAUGGAUUUGUGCCUUCGGGAACUGUGAGACAGGUGCUGCAUGGCUGUCGUCAGCUCGUGUUGUGAAAUGUUGGGUUAAGUCCCGCAACGAGCGCAACCCUUAUCCUUUGUUGCC